GAUGAACGCUGGCGGCGUGCCUAAUACAUGCAAGUCGAGCGAACAGAUGAGGAGCUUGCUCCUCUGACGUUAGCGGCGGACGGGUGAGUAACACGUGGAUAACCUACCUAUAAGACUGGGAUAACUUCGGGAAACCGGAGCUAAUACCGGAUAAUAUAUUGAACCGCAUGGUUCAAUAGUGAAAGACGGUUUUGCUGUCACUUAUAGAUGGAUCCGCGCCGCAUUAGCUAGUUGGUAAGGUAACGGCUUACCAAGGCAACGAUGCGUAGCCGACCUGAGAGGGUGAUCGGCCACACUGGAACUGAGACACGGUCCAGACUCCUACGGGAGGCAGCAGUAGGGAAUCUUCCGCAGUGGGCGAAAGCUUGACGGAGCAACGCCGCGUGAGUGAUGAAGGUCUUCGGAUCGUAAAACUCUGUUAUUAGGGAAGAACAAAUGUGUAAGUAACUAUGCACGUCUUGACGGUACCUAAUCAGAAAGCCACGGCUAACUACGUG
rnacentral:rRNA from 1 species